rnacentral:lncRNA from 1 species
GUUUAGAAGGUUCCUCCUUUGUCUCUGGGCUCCUUUUCUUUUAUUCCCCUAGGACUCUUUGCUGCAAAUGAUUUUAUCUGAAGCUGUGUCUGAACAAAAAUAGACAAAUGGAGAACUGAGGCAAUUAUACUAUUAAUUCAAGCAGAGAAAAAAGCACUUCGCCUGAGUUAUCUGGCAUUUCCUGGCAAAAAUCUUUUUCUAUGUCAAUGAUCUAGAAGAUUGCCUAACUUCUUUUCUUCAGGGGUGUAGAUGUGGCCUAUGUCACAUGGCUCUCAUUGCCUCAUUUCCUGCUGCUUCAGACUGUGUCUAUUCUAGGAAGGCUGACACAUGAUGAGAAGAGUCAGUGGUCCUGAGGUACAGUACUUAAGAUAACCCUGUGAAGGCUGAGAUUGAUAUUUGAAAUUCACAACUGAUCUUGGAGCCUGGUACAGCAGUCAUGGAGCCAUAUUGGAUUGUGAAAGGAACUCAGUUGACCUGGCCUAUUGCAGAUUUAUUCUGAGAAUUUCAAUUCAGUCUUUGCUGCUGUUUGGAAAUCUUUCAUGAAUCUUUUAAUAACUUCCUUACAUACAUCUUGUUCCAUUAAAGCCCCAAAUUUGGCUUUGUCAGCUCUCUUUCUUCAUAAUCUUUAGGAUUUGUUCAUGUGUGGAUGUGAUGGAACUGAAGUCGCUAGGUUCAUGCUACCUGGAACAUGAGACUGACAAAUAGAGGAGCACUGAGUCAAAUGAAUCUCGGAGAAAUGGAGCUGGAAGAAAACUGGAGAAUGAAAGAAAAGAUAUACGCAAAGUGGAUUCUAAUCAUAGAGUUUCAUUCUUGUUGCCCAGGCUGGAGUGCAAUGGUGU